rnacentral:rRNA from 1 species
CCUACGGGGUGCAGCAGUGGGGAAUCUUGCGCAAUGGGCGAAAGCCUGACGCAGCAACGCCGCGUGAACGAAGAAGGCCUUCGGGUCGUAAAGUUCUGUCAAGGGGGACGAUAAUGACGGUACCCCUGGAGGAAGCCCCGGCUAACUACGUGCCAGCAGCCGCGGUAAUACGUAGGGGGCGAGCGUUGUCCGGAAUUAUUGGGCGUAAAGGGCGUGUAGGCGGCCGAUCAAGUCAGGUGUGAAAUGCCGGGGCUCAACCCUGGAGGUGCACUUGAAACUGGUUGGCUUGAGUGCAGAAGAGGAAAGUGGAAUUCCCAGUGUAGCGGUGAAAUGCGUAGAUAUUGGGAGGAACACCAGUGGCGAAGGCGACUUUCUGGUCUGUAACUGACGCUGAGGCGCGAAAGCUAGGGGAGCAAACAGGAUUAGAUACCCCGGUAGUCC